rnacentral:lncRNA from 1 species
AUAGGUGGCACCGCUGUCAACAUGUGCAUGUGAAAACGAAAGUAGAUUGUUUAUCUAGGAAUUAUUACAACAUUUUACCCUUCUACGUUGAGUUUUUAAGGGAGUAUUUCUGUGUGUCUUGAAGCAUUGAAUGCCCCAAAACAACCAGUAUGAUAAGAAAACCAGAGUAUACAGCUUCCCAAAAUUUUGAAAGACUAAGCUGUUUUUCUAUGGACUUGUAUACUAUCUAGGUUGAAAACAGCCAUGGACAAUGAAUUUGGAGGUGCAUGCUGGAGCAUCAGAAAUUACAUACUUGGAAUAAAUAAUUG